GCAAGUCGAGGGGUAACAGGGUUUUCGGACCGCUGACGACCGGCGCACGGGUGCGUAACGCGUAUGCAACCUACCUUUAACAGGAGGAUAGCCCCGAGAAAUCGGGAUUAAUACUCCAUAGUAAUGGAUAAUGGCAUCAUUAUUCAUUUAAAGUUUUGGCGGUUAAAGAUGGGCAUGCGUGGCAUUAGUUUGUUGGUGAGGUAACGGCUCACCAAGACUACGAUGCCUAGGGGGUCUGAGAGGAUGAUC
rnacentral:rRNA from 1 species